ACUUGCUUUCUUUGCUGGCGACCGGCGCACGGGUGAGUAACACGUAUCCAACCUACCCUUUACUCGGGGAUAGCCUUUCGAAAGAAAGAUUAAUACCCGAUAGCAUAAUGAUUCCGCAUGGUUUCAUUAUUAAAGGAUUCCGGUAAAGGAUGGGGAUGCGUUCCAUUAGGUUGUUGGUGGGGUAACGGCCCACCAAGCCUUCGAUGGAUAGGAGUUCUGAGAGGAAGGUCCCCCACAUUGGAACUGAGACACGGUCCAAACUCCUACGGGAGGCAGCAUG
rnacentral:rRNA from 1 species